rnacentral:misc_RNA from 1 species
UGUAGAUGCCACAGGCUGCAAUGAAGACACAGGAGAUGUUGUGUUGUUUGAAAUAAAAUAUUGAAUCUUAUUUGCAUGAAGAAAGUUCCACAGCCAAGUUUGGUUAUUAAUUCUUGCAAUAAUCAAAGAGAAUACAAUUUUUUUCCAUGAAAAGGUCUUUUUCCUAUAUGCAUGCCACCAACUAGAAGCAGUGCAAGAAAAAAGAAGCAAGCACUACUCCAGUUGUAGCGGCAUCAAAACCAGCAUACGAAUACGACUUACCUUACGCAAGGUGUAGAA